rnacentral:tRNA from 1 species
UGGGCGGUCGCCAAGUGGUAAGGCACGGGUCUUUGGAACCCGCAUUCGUAGGUUCGAGUCCUACCCGCCCAG